rnacentral:rRNA from 1 species
CAGUAGCCGCGGUAAUACGUAGGGGGCAAGCGUUGUCCGGAAUUAUUGGGCGUAAAGCGCGUGUAGGCGGCUCAGCAAGUCCGCUCUGAAAGCCCAGGGCUCAACCCUGGGAUGCGGGUGGAUACUGCUGAGCUCGAGUCCGGAAGAGGCGAGUGGAAUUCCUGGCGUAGCGGUGAAAUGCGCAGAUAUCAGGAGGAACACCAAUGGCGAAGGCAGCUCGCUGGGACGUGACUGACGCUGAGACGCGAAAGCGUGGGGAGCAAACAGGAUUAGAUACCCCAGUAGUCCCUGUCUCUUAUAC